CCUACGGGAGGCAGCAGUGGGGAAUAUUGGACAAUGGGCGAAAGCCUGAUCCAGCCAUGCCGCGUGUGUGAAGAAGGCCUUCGGGUUGUAAAGCACUUUCAGUGGGGAAGAAAGCCUUGGGGCUAAUACCCUCGAGGAAGGACAUCACCCACAGAAGAAGCACCGGCUAACUCCGUGCCAGCAGCCGCGGUAAUACGGAGGGUGCGAGCGUUAAUCGGAAUUACUGGGCGUAAAGCGCGCGUAGGCGGUCUGAUAAGCCGGUUGUGAAAGCCCCGGGCUCAACCUGGGAACGGCAUCCGGAACUGUCAGGCUAGAGUGCAGGAGAGGAAGGUAGAAUUCCCGGUGUAGAGGUGAAAGGCGUAGAGAUCGGGAGGAAUACCAGUGGCGAAGGCGGCCUUCUGGACUGACACUGACGCUGGGGUGCGAAAGCGUGGGUAGCAAACAGGAUUAGAUACCCCGGUAGC
rnacentral:rRNA from 1 species